CCCUUAGAUGUUCUGGGCCGCACGCGUGCUACACUGAUGCAUUCAACGAGCACUCGCUUGGCCGAGAGGUCAGGCUAAUCUUUGAACGUGCAUCGUGCUGGGGAUAGAUGAUUGCAAUUAUUCAUCUUCAACGAGGAAUUCCUAGUAAACGCAAGUCAUCAGCUUGCAUUGAUUACGUCCCUGCCCUUUGUACACACCGCCCGUCGCACCUACCGAUUGAAUGGUCCGGUGAAAUUCUCGGACGACGCCAGGGAAUGUUAAUUCGGCACCUGGUGUUGAAAGUUAAUUAAACCUUACCAUUUAGAGGAAGGUGAAGUCGUAACA
rnacentral:rRNA from 1 species